GCAUCUCCUAAAGUGCAUUUCCCAUAUGUUAUCCACUUCAUGGGACUGUAUGUCUUUUUUCACAUGUGCCUCAUUUUAAAUAUUCAGUACUAUGUAUUUUUUAUUUAUAGCAAAAUUUUUCAGCAUCUGAGAACGUAGGUAAAUACUGUUUGCCUCAUUUUGUAGCUAAGGCAGCUAGGGAAUAGAGAAGUCAAAGGUUUGUGAUAUGAUAUAUUGGCAUUUAAGCAAAUGACUAGCAGUCUCCUCAAAACUGAAAGCAUGACCUUUUGUGAAAUGGCAUUCUUUUAUUGAACAAAUGUGUUUUUAAUGUAUUCUGUUAUAGCUGCUUGCUGUUGUGAUUAUACAAAAUUGAACUGCCUUUUGCAACAGUGAAAACUGCAGUAGGAACAAAGGGACUGACCUGGUUUUGACUCCUUAUUCUCUUCUACAAAUCUGCAAAUGCAUUUGUUGCUGCCUGUGUAAAUCAGUUGCUGCAAAUAUUAAAUCUCAACUUCUGUGGUUUUGCUACAGGGCAGCCUUAGAAGAAUUUAGUUAAGCCAAGUAAAUCCCUACUCAUUUAGCUGCAAUUUAACUCAAAUGACAAACCAGCAGUGGCUGAGAACAGGUUAUGUGGGUUCCUUGUGAAACUCCUUCAUGAGAGAGACAACAUCCUCUUUCCCUCAGCUGAAGGCAGAGAAAACAGCAGGUCAGAUUUCUGCUUGUACCAAAGCCCCAGUUCUUGGUAGUCUUGCAGCAAGCACAGUGUCAGCAAUUGUAAUUCCUGACAUUUCUAACUUGGAGGAGAGGACUGAGAAGGGUAGAUGACAUCUGCAUACUUUAGACAAAAAUGGAAGGUCCUGAACAGCAAACCUCGAGGCUUUGAAUGAGUGUGCAGCUGAGAGUGUGGAGAUAGGAAAACUAACUUAUUUGGACAACAGCACUGUGUACAGUGAGACAUGACAGCUGUGAGCUGGAGCUGCCACCUUCAUGUCUGAAGGUGUCCUUGUCCUGAGCUAUUUUGCCACUGCUCUCUUGAGUAGAUAUAGAUGAGCCCAGAAGAAUACCCCCUUGACCUUAUCACUAGCCUUGCUUACAUCUGUGGAGAGAAAAGCUGCUGAGAAAGUACAUGAACCUCUUCAUUACAAAGAACUGUGAGAUUAAUUAUUGAGAAAUUAAUUAUUCCUUUUUGUCUUAAAGGAAA